UCCCUCCUCCCUCCUUCUCCCUUAGCUCCCCCCACCUCUUCCCCCCACCCUCCAUUCCUCUGUCUCUCUAUUCCUCCACCUACUCCUCCCAAUUUCUCCCCCUACAGCCCCCCUUCUCACCACCACUUAUAAUGGCACACAGGGCUCCCUCUGAGGUGGACGGCCCGAUGCACAGAGAAUUUCUGACCUUGUGACGUUUGGGAGUGAGGAGAUCCCAUAUGGAGGCAUCCAGGUAUUUCCAGAGAUCCUGUGGCAGGUGAGGUCUGCCCCGGCUGGAGCCAACUCGUCUAUAAUAUCUUCCUAACAGCAGGAGUCGCCUGCGGGGAGGAGAGGAGAGGACAGACUAAGCUACGCGUAGAGCGGCAUCAGGAGCAAGUUACCGUUAUCAUGUGUAAACAAAACAACUCGACUCCUCUGUGUCAGAAUCAACAACAUCAAAGGUGUCUGUGGGGGGUCAUUUUUAUUUUUAAAACAGUCCUAGAUUCUUGUUCAGCAAUUUUAGUAUCUUCCUUCUGGGUUUGUUCUAAGGCAUGCAGGAGAGAAAAGUAACGUUCGAGAAAAAAGCUGGGUCGGCAAGUUUGGCUCCGGAGCCUAUGAACUAUGAAUCACCGCGGUGAAGAGGUUUUCUUUUUCUUUUUCUUUUUUUUUUUCUCACCCUCUUCUUUUCUCCUGGAGCGUGAACUUGUUAGAUAAGAGAGAUGAGGCUACAAGGAAAUGGAAACGCUGAAAAAGCCCGACUCCUUUGGAGAGCAGACUGUGCGGCUGGCAGGCGGCUGCCGCGCGCCCUCCCCCAGCCGAGGAGCACCGGGGCAGCUCCGGAGCGGUCCCAACUUGGGCCUCCUCGGCCCCACCGCGGGGCCAGACAUCACGCUCAGAUCGCUGCCUUGGCCAUCUUACCUUUUGGCCAUAGAAUACACACCCCGAAAGACGAGAGAACGGCCUCUAUUUGAGCUGAGUGUCUGCUCUCCCGCUCGAAACACAAAACAGGGCCCGCAGCUUUUCCUAGAGGGAGUCCCAAUCACAAAACAGUCCGAGAGUGGGAGACGCUAGAGAAGUCUGGAAUUACAGCUGAUAAUGUGGCUGGUUGGAAUCAAUUAGCACUGGAUUUUGCCCCAGGAUUGCUCCCCAGGGCGGACAAGUGGAGCCAACUCAUCUCCAGCGACUUUUUCUUCGCUCACGUGCAUAUCCACGCCAGGGCUUCAGAAGCGUUUCAAAAUCCCCAGCCUUGGUUUCACUUGAUUUCGUUGUUGUUAUUGAUAAAUAUUGGGUCAUACACAAGCCACUUGUCAGAGCCUUUGGCUCCAUCUCGAAGCUGCAGCUCCUAGCGGGACGUUUGAGUCUUGUCCUAGGAACUGGAAGGAUUUACUGGGAAAAGAAUUACACAUUCUCUGCUCCUUCAGUUUUGGAGAUGGUCCCUUAAAUCAUAUCAUAUCGUCUGUCUGCUUGCUGUCACAUUUAUUUCUUGAUUAUUCCGAUAUGUGAACAAUGGGAAGAUGUGUGCAUCUUUUCCCCCAUCUUUUAAAAACAAUUAUUGAAAUGGUUUAAAAAGGGGGGAGGGGAGAAGGUAUUGAUCCCAGUCCUUUCCGUAUAUUUGGAACCAAAAGAGCAUAGGCAAAUAGAUAAUUGUUUUAAUUGUCGGGGUAGGGGGUGGGUUGGUAGGUAGGACCUUUGGGUUUUGUGUAAUUGGAGUAAUAAAUGCAGUUUAUCUUUUAGCUCCGCUGUAUAUAUUCUUUCCCUUGAUACAUAUUGCACAUGAGCUGAACCCAUGGUCUACUUGUCUUAGCAUGUUUGAAGCCCCAGACACCCAACAGUAUCAUUACAGGAAAGAGACAAAGCCCCCAAAGACUCCAGGCAGGGAGGUGACUGCCUUUGGGGCCAAUGGGGAAUUUAUCUUGACGUUGAACUAUUCUAGGAAGUGCACCCACUCGCUCAGACUCCCUUGCUGCGCAGAGUUCAGGUCUUCCCCGUGCUGAAGUGCGGGGAGGAGGUGUGGGAAAAAAACAGCUGAUUUUUGACAUUUCAAAGGGACUCUUUCUAUUUAUCAGUGUUACCGAAGUGUACGUUACUGGAGAAACAACAAAACAAGCAUAGAGCUGCAAUUUUCAAGAAAAUAGGAUCCCCAAAUAUAAAAAUAAAAAAGUAGCAGAUAAGAUGUAUAAUUCAAUCAAAUUACACAAAAUUGCUUGAAAAUCUAGAACAGUAGCGAUCCAUUAUGCCUCUGUUUUAUUAGUGACAAGUACAAUUACUCUAAAAUAAAGAACACUGGUGAAUAUAUAA